rnacentral:lncRNA from 1 species
UAAAAGAAAAAGAGUUGUCCAUUUUCUGUAUUUGUUGCAAAGCUGCAGAUUUCAUAUAUUGUCCAAAAUUUAAAAUUUCCAUUCCGAUCUUGAUAAUUGAUGGAAUGAUGCUAUGCAGAGGCUCAUUUCUUUGAAUGAAGACUGAACAAAACUACCUAUGCAUGAAAAUGGUACGGAAAGAGACAAUCUCAAUGAUGAAGUUUUCGGCAUCUAUCAAAAAAAACUUAUGAUUUUUCAGCUGCUUUAGAUACCUCGAGGUACUUCCCUUUACGUUCAUCUACUUCUAAGAAUGGAAGUUGUACAUAAUGUAUUGCUCAUGUCCUUAUGUAUCCUGUUUCCCCCGAUUUACACAGGUAGUCCUGCUAAAAAUUUAAUUUGUCAAGUUCCCGAAACUGAUAAUAUUGUGGAUGUUUAGUCGUCCUACUCUCCAUGAGAGUGAUAUGCACCUUUGAGGUUAAUCUCAAAUAUGUUUUGCACCAAAUGAGCUGUUGUUUCCUAUUUCCUGAAAACAAGGAUACUUCUGACAUUCUAUUUGGUCAGUACCCUUCUCCUGUUUUCUAAUUUGUUACUUUGGAGGAUUGCUCUAUUGAAUAGCCUUCAUAUGUAGAAGUUUAUGGAUCCAUUACCUUUUGCUCAUUGCUCUCAUGAGAUUUUCCUACUUUCCUGAUCAUCAUGCCAAUUAUCAGUUAGCUUUUACUGGAUAAUAAUACUACAUUUUAUUCUAUUCUCUCGAGCUGUAGGGCACACAAGCACUCGCAUCAUUAGAUUGAUUUUGUACAUCAGAUACCUUGUGUCCCUGUGCUAUUUAAUGUGUGUGGGUGUAUAUAUAUCCUUUCCUGAAAUUUUUAAGAAUGCAACUUUUAUGCUUGCUCAUGAUGCCUGGUGUCUAAUGUAUAUGUAAUGUAGAAAAAUAAUACAGUAUCUCUAUGCUGACUUUCUUUUUAAACACCCAGAAACUGUCAUUGAUCAAUUUGUUGUUGUCGUUUCAGGUUUUAAUCCUUCUUCUCCUUUAGCAAGUGUUGCAUUUCAGGGAGUUUCUACUACAGAUCCAUGAAAGCUUUUCCACCUUGCUGGAGCUGACUAGGAAUAUGUUUGCCAAUAUUCCUAAGCAUAGAACUAUAGCCAUGCAAACCGCACCAAAACAUGCCUUCCAUGAAAGAGCAAGCUUGAUCUUACCUCCAAAUAUAGUCCAACCAGAGACUCGACUUCAUUAUCCUCAACUGCACGGUAUCCGCCUUUAAGGAGAUCCGAUAGACAGAACAACACAUUAUCUCUUUCUAUCCAUCUAACUAUAAGAAACAUUUAGUAUCUACAGGUUUAUUAUAAAAGAGGAGAACAAAUUCACCAUGAUUAGGAUAUCGAGGAAUGAAAACACGAAUGUGAACGUCUGAUUUCUAAAAGACAAUAACCCUCCUCCUUUUUCCAGGAUUGUGUAAGCUUGAUCUUAGAGAUUGUUUCUGCUGAGUACUGAUGCUGUGGCUUUUUUUAAUCUAUCGACAUCUGUAAUUUGAGUACUUUAGCAUAUUUUGAGACAAGUCAAAUAAAGCAGAGGAAGAAAUUGUAAUCUAAUCUCUUAUAACCAAGAAGAUAUUCCUAGAACUACCAAAUCAUGUCUCAAAACCAGCUCUCAUUAUGAUAACACAAGUUAUAAAGAGGAUCCAUGACCUUCAUUAUACAGGAGCACG